CAACGGUGGACAAGAACCUCUUGCUUCAAAUUAAGAGUUUGCAGCAACACCCUGUGAGUUUGUGGUAACAUAGAUUGGACAGCCGACAGCAAAGCCAUAUUUCACGGUCUGCGGCGCCGUUUUGCAACCUUGCUUGGUAACGCAGACUGCUCAGAUAGAAACCAGAAGGUAGGAAAGUUCUCCUAUAUCAAGUGUGUAAGUGUGUGUGCGAGUGUGAUUGAGACGCGGCUCUGCUGCGGAGCGAGUGGGGAGUCCUGCUCUGCGGUUCCUGUUCUCCGCGAGGAGCCAGGCCAGAAACGGACGAAGCGACUGGAAAUUGCGUACAUGAAGUGUUGGGACAAAGUAAGAAAUACCGUGAGACAGUGAAAUAAAUUAAGAAAAGUGUAAGCUUGCUAUAAUAAUGUAAAAAAAAUUUAUCGGACAAUCAAUUUAGAGAAGAGACGAACUAGAGUACAACCCCUAGUGAUUUAGAAUAUUUGCAACUGGAAACUAGUUCAGGAACACGACUCCUGGAUCAGCUGGUAUAUUACUGAUGCUCAAAUAAUUGAAAGGUCCAGGGAGAAUCUGUCCUUGAAAGAUUAACAUUUGUCAGCAGUAACUAGUACAUUAUAGAUAGAUAUUUUGUGUAUGACGCAGUGGGACAGAUUG